ACAUUCGGAGUGUACAUAAAACAGAAAAAAUCUUCAUGUAUUUUUAUUAAAUAUAACAAUGUCUGAGUUUCACCUAAGAUGUUUUUGUGCCAUAUGCUGGAUAUCCAGGUUCUCGCCAGGCCCCGAUACGUGAAUAACAAACCCAAGAAAUGCAUCCCCAUUGUGUGAUGUGUUCAGAUGCAUCUGGCACCAAUUAGGUAUUUCUUAAAACAGGACUCAUCUGUCAGAGUGCAUAUGAAAAAUCAGGCAGGGAAUCGAAACGACAGCGCUUGAGGAGACUCAGGAAGCAGAGGCGUCCCUGCCGCUGCCCUUGGCCCUGCAAGCACAUUAUGACCCUUUCUGGCAGCCUCUUAGUACUCUGGGUAGUGAGAGAUGACCAGUCUUGUCCUGAGAAAUGUUUCUCUCAGUCUUUAAGUUCAAAGACUAAUCUGUGGCAAUCAGACUUUCCAAAAGGGGGUUCUUCAUUUUUUGUAGUUUUGUCUAAAUUUUUAAUGACCAUUUCCUGGAAUCAGUUUAUUAUACUGAAAACUGGGGGUGGGAGUAGGGAGCUAGUUUGUUGAUAAAUAGUUCCCAUUUCCCCGUGGAGAAUUCGACAUACCCUGGACUCCUGUGUGCCUCCUGCCAUCCCUGCACACAGCCUGGGGAGAAGCUUGUGCCUCCCCAUGUGGAGAGAAGGCAACCCCAGAUCCCCUGAGCUAACCCGGAGGAAAGGCAGUCCUGGACAGAAGACUGUCAGCAGAAGGAAAGUACUGGACUACCCGUGGGUAAGGCCUGCCAUUCAAGACUGGAGACACCUGGGAAAUAAAAAGAGCAGGGCACUGCCGGUGGGGAGAGGCAUUUUACCUUCCAGUGUAAAUCCUGCUCCUUUGAUUUAAUGGGGUGUACUGGGACCAGGGGCUGAUUCACUUCCUUGGGAGAUGGUGAUGUUUUCAUGAACAUCUUUGAUCCUUCCAUUUCAUUUAUUCAUCCAUCCAUUCAACAAGUAUUUGCUAAACACUAACCUAAGCUAAUGCUAGGGUAGUGACUGAGAUGUAAAAAUACAUUUUAGAAUUAAAACAAAAUCCAAGUCCUCACACCCCUGUCAUCCCAGGAGAUCUUUCCUUGUGGUGGUUUCUGUGAGAAUUGGCCAUCCUGAGGACACAGCCAUGACGGCAGAGGCCUCCUGGCCUCAGGGCAUGCCCUGCCUACCUUCUGAAAUGUUUACCCCAUUGACCAAACUUGGCUCCAGCCACUGCGGUGGUUUCUAGAUAGCCGGGCCCGCCAAGAGACACUGCCCCUUGAUGAGAGUCAAACACCCUGCCUACAAGGAGAUGUUUUGAAGUGGAGAGGAAAAUUGGCGCCUUAUCUUUUAAAGGCAAUAAUGGAAUUGACUUUCAGUAACUGAAUUUGUGCACAAAACAUUCUAAACACUAGUGAAGCCUGUUUCGUUGAACUAAUUCUGGCUCUGGAAAUGUUUUUGUUUUAUAGUUAUUUACGAUUUCGUUUGUUUGGAUUCAAGCUUAGUUUGUUAAUAUGUAUAAUUUAGCAUCUAUUACACUCAUGUAAAUAUGGAGUAAGUAUUGUAAACUAUUUCAUUGCUGGGGAUUGUGGGUGUUAUACAUACAUUUAGGACUGCAAUUUUUUGGUAUUUUUUGUAUUGUAAAAUAACAGCUAAUUUAAGCAGGAACAAGAGAACUAAGGGAGGUCUGUGCAUUUUAAACACAAAUGUGAAGAACUUGUAUAUAAACAAAAGUAAAUACUAUAAUACAAACUUCCUUCUGAAAUAAAAGUAGAUCUGGUAAAAA
ensembl:lncRNA